AGUGAACGCUGGCGGUAGGCCUAACACAUGCAAGUCGAACGGCAGCACAGUAAGAGCUUGCUCUUACGGGUGGCGAGUGGCGGACGGGUGAGGAAUACAUCGGAAUCUACUUUUUCGUGGGGGAUAACGUAGGGAAACUUACGCUAAUACCGCAUACGACCUACGGGUGAAAGCAGUGGAUCUUCGGACCUUGCCCGAUUGAAUGAGCCGGUGUCGGAUUAGCUAGUUGGCGGGGUAAAGGCCCACCAAGGCGACGAUCCGUAGCUGGUCUGAGAGGAUGAUCAGCCACACUGGAACUGAGACACGGUCCAGACUCCUACGGGAGGCAGCAGUGGGGAAUAUUGGACAAUGGGCGCAAGCCUGAUCCAGCCAUACCGCGUGGGUGAAGAAGGCCUUCGGGUUGUAAAGCCCUUUUGUUGGGAAAGAAAAGCAGCAGGUUAAUACCCCGCUGUUCUGACGGUACCCAAAGAAUAAGCACCGGCUAACUUCGUG
rnacentral:rRNA from 1 species